AUUGAACGCUGGCGGCAGGCCUAACACAUGCAAGUCGAGCGAGCGGCGGACGGGGGCGUAAUGUAUGGGGACUGCCCGAUAGAGGGGGAUCACUACUGGAAACGGUAGAUAAUACCGCAUACUAUCGGAUAACCCAUAUGGUAUUAGCUAGUCGGUGAGGUAAUGGCUCACAUAGGCGACGAUCCCUAGCUGGUCUGAGAGGGUGAUCGGCCACACUGGGACUGAGACACGGCCCAGACUCCUACGGAGGCAGCAGUGGGGAAUAUUGGACAAUGGGCGAAAGCCUGAUGCAGCAAUGCCGCGUGUGUGAAGAAGGCCCUAGGGUUGUAAAGCUCUUUCGUUAGGGAAGCGUUAUCGAACCAGGAAGCAACGGCUAACUCCGUGCCAGCAGCCGCGGUAAUUC
rnacentral:rRNA from 1 species